UCACAGUAAGAAUAAUGGGUCCUCUUAUUCGGUUGUUGAGAGUUUGUGACACUGAUGAAAGGCCUUCUUUGGGAUAUGUUUAUGAAGGUAUGUUUAGAGCAAUUACUGGCAUCAAGAAGUUGUUCAGAAAUAGUGAAAGAUUGUAUAAGGCUUACGUUGAUAUCAUCAAUGACCGGUGGGAUCAAAUGUUGAGGAAAAAUUUGCAUGCUACAGCCUAUUUUUUAAAUCCUGCUUUUCAGUAUGACACUGCCACAUUCUCUGCACAUCCAGAAAUUACAAAUGGUUUGUUGGAUUACAUAGAGUCAAAAGUGGAUUGGUGUAGUGUGGAAAGUUUAACAAAGGAAAUUGGAAUGUAUUGAGAGCAGGAGGGAAGUUUUGGCAGAAAACUUGCUAUUCUCACUAGUGAGAAAGACAGGCCAGAGAAUUGGUGGAAACUCUUUGGAUGUGAUGCUCCAAAUUUACAAAAGCUUGCAAUUCGGGUUUUAAGUCAAACCGCUUCUUCUUUAGGAUGUGAGUGUAAUUGGAGUGUUUUUGAAUGUAUUCACACUAAAAAAAGGAACAGGUUGAAGCAUCAAAGGCUCAACGAUCUUGUACAUGUGCAUUAUAAUUUGCAUUUGCAAAAUAGGCAUAAUCAGCAAAAAAGAUCGUAUGAUCCCGUUGAUUAUGAGUCCAUUGAUAAAACAGAAUUUUGGGUGGUUGAAGAAGAACAAGAAGGGGAACUUGAUUAUGAUGAGUUAGAUGAAGAACUUGAAGAAAUUCCAGUUCAUGAUCAAGGUUCAAAUUCUCAACCAUUUGAAGAUAAUGAAGAUGAAGGGGAAGAUGUUGAUUUAGAAGCAUUUCAGCGUAGAAACUUUUUUAAUGAUGAUGAAGAUGAUGAUUG